rnacentral:tRNA from 1 species
AUCUCGUUAGCUCAAUGGCAGAGUUCCGGUCUCCAAAACCGGGGAUGGUGGUUCGAGUCCAUCACGGGAUGCCA